UACGUAGGCAGCAAGCGUUGUUCGGAGUUACUGGGCGUAAAGAGUGUGUAGGUGGUCCUCUAAGUUUGGUGUGAAAUCUCCCGGCUCAACUGGGAGGGUGCGCCGAAAACUGGGGGGCUUGAGUGUGGGAGAGGAAAGCGGAAUUCCUGGUGUAGCGGUGAAAUGCGUAGAUAUCAGGAGGAACACCUGCGGUGUAGACGGCUUUCUGGACCACUACUGACACUGAGACACGAAAGCGUGGGGAGCAAACAG
rnacentral:rRNA from 1 species